rnacentral:lncRNA from 1 species
GUUGGAAGAAGACCUGAUCAACAACUUCAGGGUGAAGGGAAAAUAACUGAUAGAAGACCAGAAAGGCGACCACCUCAUGAACGAAGAUUUGAAAAGACACUUGAAGAAAAGGGUGAAGGAGGCGAAUUUUCACUAGAUAGACCGAUUAUUGACCAACCUAUUCGAGGUCGUGGAUGUGGAAUGGGCUGAGGAGAUGGAUCUGAUUCUCAUGGCAAACGUGAAUUUGAUAGGCAUCGUGGAAGUGAUCUUCUUUUUCACAUUACAGUGGCCUGAAGCACGAGGACAAACAUGGAGGUAGCGGAUCUUACCACUGGGGAACUGUCAAAGAUGAAUUAACUGACUUGGAUCCAUCAAAUGUGACUGAGGAAACACCUGAAGGUUAGGAACAUCAUCCAGUGGCAGGCACUGAAAAUAAGGAGAAUGAAGUGGAAGAGGUAAAAGAGGAGGGUCUGAAAGAGAUGACUUUAGAUGAGUGGAAGGCUAUUCAAAAUAAGGACUGGGCAAAAGUAAAAUUUAAUAUCUGAAAACCAAAUGAAGGUGCUGAUGGGCAGUGGAAGAAGGGAUUUGUUCUUCAUAAAUCAAAAAGUGAAGCGGCUCAUGCUGAAGAAUCGGUUAUGGACCAUCAUUUCCAGAAGCCAGCAGAUGAUAUAACAUCUCAGCUGGAGAUCAAUUUUGGAGACCUUGGCCGCCCAGAACAUGGUGGCAGGGGAGGACGAGGUGGACGUGGGCGUGUUGGGCGCCCAAACCGUGGCAGCAGGACCAACAAGUGCUUCUGCUCCUGAUGUGGAUGACCCAGAGGCUCUGGCGUA